GCUCGGUUCGUCUAGUGGUUAGGACGGUGGAUUUUGAUUCCACAAACCUCGGUUCGAUCCCGAGAUUGAGCU
rnacentral:tRNA from 1 species